UGGGGAAUAUUGGACAAUGGGCGAAAGCCUGAUCCAGCCAUGCCGCGUGUGUGAAGAAGGUCUUCGGAUUGUAAAGCACUUUAAGUUGGGAGGAAGGGCAGUAAGCGAAUACCUUGCUGUUUUGACGUUACCGACAGAAUAAGCACCGGCUAACUCUGUGCCAGCAGCCGCGGUAAUACAGAGGGUGCAAGCGUUAAUCGGAAUUACUGGGCGUAAAGCGCGCGUAGGUGGUUCGUUAAGUUGAAUGUGAAAGCCCCGGGCUCAACCUGGGAACUGCAUCCAAAACUGGCGAGCUAGAGUAGGGCAGAGGGUGGUGGAAUUUCCUGUGUAGCGGUGAAAUGCGUAGAUAUAGGAAGGAACACCAGUGGCGAAGGCGACCACCUGGGCUCAUACUGACACUGAGGUGCGAAAGCGUAGGGAGCAAACAGG
rnacentral:rRNA from 1 species